UCAUGUAUAGAGCAUCACAGUCCCGCCCACAGCCAGUGCCGGAAGUAAAAAUUCAAUACAAUUUCUCCAUUGACAGUUGGGGUAUAAGCCAUAAAAACGUAACCAUACAUGGAAGACUUAAAACCAGCUACGGCUGUACUAAGCGUUUAUGCUCAUAUAAACGCCAAAAGUUCAUGGGGCACUAACCUUGUUUUAAGAUAAAUGCCUUUUAUUCGCGAUGUAUUGGAUAAGUACUUCAUUACCCACAAUCCUGAACAA